AGGACGAACGCUGGCGGCGUGCUUAACACAUGCAAGUCGAGCGAGGCCCGUCCUUCGGGACGGUGCCCUAGCGGCGAACGGGUGAGUAACACGUGGGCAACCUGCCCCUAGCACUGGGAUAACUCCGGGAAACCGGGGCUAAUACCGGAUAUGACCUUUGUGGGCAUCCUCGAAGGUGUAAAGGAUUCUGGCUAGGGAUGGGCCCGCGGCCUAUCAGCUUGUUGGUGGGGUAAUGGCCUACCAAGGCGACGACGGGUAGCCGGCCUGAGAGGGCGACCGGCCACACUGGGACUGAGACACGGCCCAGACUCCUACGGGAGGCAGCAGUGGGGAAUAUUGCACAAUGGGCGAAAGCCUGAUGCAGCGACGCCGCGUGAGGGAUGACGGCCUUCGGUUGUAACCUCUUUCAGCAGGGACGAAGCGCAAGUGACGGUACCUGCAGAAGAAGCACCGGCAACUACGUGCCAGCAGCCGC
rnacentral:rRNA from 1 species